CUUGGGCUACAUCUAAGGCCUGUCUGUGAUGCUCUGGUUUAUAGAUCUGUAUUGGUGUUCAGAAGUGGGAUACCGCAGCAAACACAUCCAUGGACAAUUAGCAAUUUGCUACACAACUGGACAACCGUACUAAAAGGUAAAAGCGUACACCUGGUAUACUGGACAUUGCUACAAAGGCUGGAUACUGUCUAUAACAAUGUUAAUGGAACAAAGCAAAAUCAUUCAAAACCAAAAUCAUUUAAGGGUAUCUGUUCCAAAGGUUGAUGCGAGAUAAAAGCGCCAGUGCAUAAAAUGAAGAUGAAGACAGUGAAGAUAUUCUGGAUAUUAUA